AGAGUUUGAUCAUGGCUCAGGACGAACGCUGGCGGCGUGCUUAACACAUGCAAGUCGAGCGGAAAGGCUCCUUCGGGGGUACUCGAGCGGCGAACGGGUGAGUAACACGUGAGUAAUCUGCCCUUGGCUUUGGGAUAAGCCCCGGAAACGGGGUCUAAUACCGGAUACGACGCACUCUCGCAUGGGAUGUGUGUGGAAAGUUUUUUCGGCCAGGGAUGUGCUCGCGGCCUAUCAGCUUGUUGGUGGGGUAAUGGCCUACCAAGGCUUCGACGGGUAGCCGGCCUGAGAGGGUGACCGGCCACACUGGGACUGAGACACGGCCCAGACUCCUACGGGAGGCAGCAGUGGUGAAUAUUGGACAAUGGGCGGAAGCCUGAUCCAGCAACGCCGCGUGAGGGAUGACGGCCUUCGGGUUGUAAACCUCUUUCAGUACCGACGAAGCGCCGAUGAUGGUGGUGACGGUAGGUACAGAAGAAGCACCGGCCAACUACGUG
rnacentral:rRNA from 1 species